CGCGGCCAUGCUUUACACAUGCAAGUCGAGCGGCAGCGCGGGGCAACCUGGCGGCGAGCGGCGAACGGGUGAGUAACACAUCGGAACGUACCCAGACGUGGGGGAUAGCCCGGCGAAAGCCGGAUUAAUACCGCAUACGUCCUGAGGGAGAAAGCAGGGGAUCGCAAGACCUUGCGCGUUUGGAGCGGCCGAUGUCUGAUUAGCUAGUUGGUGGGGUAAAGGCCCACCAAGGCGACGAUCAGUAGCGGGUCUGAGAGGAUGAUCCGCCACACUGGAACUGAGACACGGUCCAGACUCCUACGGGAGGCAGCAGUGGGGAAUUUUGGACAAUGGGGGCAACCCUGAUCCAGCCAUUCCGCGUGAGUGAAGAAGGCCUUCGGGUUGUAAAGCUCUUUCGGCAGGAACGAAACGGUUACGGCCAAUACCCGUGACUAAUGACGGUACCUGAAGAAGAAGCACCGGCUAACUACGUGCCAGCAGCCGCGGUAAUACGUAGGGUGCGAGCGUUAAUCGGAAUUACUGGGCGUAAAGCGUGCGCAGGCGGUUUUGUAAGACAGUGGUGAAAUCCCCGGGCUCAACCUGGGAACUGCCAUUGUGACUGCAAGGCUAGAGUGCGGCAGAGGGGGAUGGAAUUCCGCGUGUAGCAGUGAAAUGCGUAGAUAUGCGGAGGAACACCGAUGGCGAAGGCAAUCCCCUGGGCCUGCACUGACGCUCAUGCACGAAAGCGUGGGGAGCAAACAGGAUUAGAUACCCUGGUAGUCCACGCCCUAAACGAUGUCAACUGGUUGUUGGGUCUUAACUGACUCAGUAACGAAAGCUAACGCGUGAAGUUGACCGCCUGGGGAGUACGGCCGCAAGGUUGAAACU
rnacentral:rRNA from 1 species